rnacentral:rRNA from 1 species
UACGUAGGGUGCAGGCGUUAAUCGGAAUUACUGGGCGUAAAGCGUGCGCAGGCGGUCUUUUAAGUCAGAUGUGAAAUCCCCGGGCUUAACCUGGGAACUGCGUUUGAAACUGAAAGGCUAGAGUGUGGCAGAGGGGGGUGGAAUUCCACGUGUAGCAGUGAAAUGCGUAGAGAUGUGGAGGAACACCGGUGGCGAAGGCGGCAUCCUGGACCAACACUGACACUGAGGAGCGAAAGCCAGGGGAGCAAACGGG